CAUAAAGGGCAGCCAACUAAUCCAACUAACACUAUACUAACACUUAACUAAACCUGAAAUGCUACUAGUUUUCUGGGAUUUUUUCCACUAGAUUAUGAGACCGAAAACAUGAGAUGAAAAUACCACACAAAGCUUCGACAUAAGCCACAGGCAGUGAAAAGGAACUGAGUGGGGGUCAGGAUGGAGCUGUCUUUAUAUAGCCAGAAGAGGGGCUAAGGCCAUGAGGGCACAAAUGCUGUCCUUCUGGGUACUGCUAGGCAAAGUUCUCCAGCUUCGGUGCACUGGGCACAAGUACACCUCUGUGGAAUACAUGGCUGCAGCUAUUCAAAGAUAGUAGGAUGAAGUAAUGGAUAUGUACGGAGGAGCAAAGUUGUGAAGGACCUUGAAAUCAAGAAGAAGCUUGAACCUGAUGCAGUGAAACAGGGUAGUGGAGGAAUUUAAAGGGGAAGGUAAUAUGGUUACAGCAGCCGGUAAAGGGUGAAAUUAUCCAGUUAGAUGUCAGGAUGGAACAGCGGAGCUGCAUUUGCGUGCACGAGGCAGAUCACUGGGAAACUAAUUUUAAGAUCUAUAAGUCUACUGAUCUUCUGCUCAAACUCAGCAUCUCCAGCAUCAGCAUCAGCUACACUGCUUCUGCAGCUAGAUAAAGAAACUUCACUGGCUCUGUCCUCUUCCACUUCGUCAUCACCACCUUGUGAUACAUCAAU